AUACUUACCUGGCGAGUGUAAUUCUGUGAUCAAGAAGGCGGAAUACAUGGUUUGGUUGUUUCACAUUGCACAAAGUGAAGUGACCAGACUGCGAACAUUCUUUACGAAUGUCUCGGUCGCAUAAUUUUUGGUAGUGGGGAUUACAGGCGUUCGCGCCAGUUUUCCCUU
rfam:Neocallimastix californiae strain G1 LY90scaffold_1186, whole genome shotgun sequence.